UACGUAGGGUGCAAGCGUUGUCCGGAAUUAUUGGGCGUAAAGAGCUCGUAGGCGGUUCGUCGCGUCGGCUGUGAAAUCCCGAGGCUCAACCUCGGGUCUGCAGUCGAUACGGGCGGACUGGAGUACUGCAGGGGAGACUGGAAUUCCCGGUGUAGCGGUGAAAUGUGUAGAGAUCGGGAGGAACACCGGUGGCGAAGGCGGGUCUCUGGGCAAUUCCUGACGCUGAGGCGCGAAAGCGUGGGGAGCAAACGGG
rnacentral:rRNA from 1 species